ACCGUACCGUUUUCAAUAUUUAUUCGCAGCCGCCGACCGUACUUUAAAGACACUUCUUCCACAUAAAAUAGAACAUAAUUUUCCUAAAAACAUAUUUUGUAAAAUGGCUCAUCUUGAUUAAGCAAUCUAUUUAUAAAGAUGCUCUCAAUACAGCCGCAAUCCGAGAUAACUUUAUCUGUAGUCAUUGCUGUCGCAAGAUUCAUUAUUUUAAAAUCUUUUUAAAAAACAAACUUUCCAUCCGUCCAACUUUAGAUUGUCUAAACAUCGCAAGCGAACCACAUAUAGAUGAAUUUUACCCUCCCCCUAAGCGUUAUGCUGGCUAUAUUGAUUGGCCUCUCGGGCAUCGCAAGAGCCGACUUGAAUAGAGAUAAUGUUCGUAGGCUUCAGGAAUUGCUUCAAGUUCUGCCAGGUACUUAUCCGGAUAUGCAAAUGCAGAUGGCCAAGCUGAUUUGUCAAUACCAAAAGGGCAAUUUAGAUAUCGAUGAAAUUAAUGGAUACAUCCUCCGACUGCGAGAACUGCUCCUAGUUCACCCAGGUACUGAUCCGGACACCCAGAUGCAGAUUGUAAGCCAAACUUACAAGAUGUGCAGGGGUCAGGGAUCAGUACGCGAUGUGGAUGGUAGGUGCCUUAUCGGUCUAUCUGAUUUGAUAACCCAGGCAAGGAAUAUAAACUGGAUAGAGAAGUAUAUAAGAGAACAUUAAAAGGGCAAGUGUUGUUGGUUUAAAUAAAUAGAAGCAAACACAAAUAAAAGAUAAGCAAUUGUAUAUUUCGAUAAGCACAUUGACUUAUUUCAGCCGAAAAAAAAACGGGUUCGAACACAAAAACUACAA